rnacentral:lncRNA from 1 species
UCAUUUAACCACAAACAAGUUUAUUAUAUGUAGUACGUGUAAAAAAUAUACAAUAUACCAACAGGGUUAAUGAUCGAUAAAUAAAAAUACAAAUAUGUACCAUUAACCCUCAAUACAUUUGGUAAAUGGUACAUUUCUUUAAGCUAAGCAUGAAGAAUUUGACUCCAGCAUCUAUAUGAAAAUAACUAUAUUAAAAGAAAUAUAAGUAACUUUGACAAUCCUAUAUUUCAAAAAGAAAUUAAUAUUAUCAAUAGUGGAAUAUAUCCUUGAUGCAAUAUUGUUGACUUAGAAAUCAUAUUUCUUCAUCUUGAAUCAUAAGCUACUUCAACAUUUCUUUCUAGAAGAACAGCCAGUGUUAUAAAUUGGUUUCUUGAAGUGAGGUUUCUGAUAUUUUUCACAACCAGCCAUUCUAUUUCCAGUUAUUUUACAUAACUCACCUUUUAUGUUCAAACCCAUGACACCUUGGUUGAGCAUAGCCAUACUUAGAAGAAGAGCACAAAGAAACAAAACCUUCAUUUUAAAGUUGAUGUUUUGAUCUUCUUUAUGCUCUAUUAUACUUUGAAAAUUGC